UACGUAGGGGGCAAGCGUUGUCCGGAUUUAUUGGGCGUAAAGAGCUCGUAGGUGGUUCGGUAAGUCGGAUGUGAAAUCUCCAGGCUCAACCUGGAGGGGUCAUUCGAUACUGCCGUGACUAGAGUUCGGUAGGGGAGUGUGGAAUUCCUGGUGGAGCGGUGAAAUGCGCAGAUAUCAGGAGGAACACCCGUAGCGAAGGCGGCACUCUGGGCCGAUAUUGACACUGAGGAGCGAAAGCGUGGGGAGCGAACAGG
rnacentral:rRNA from 1 species